CAGUCGCCGCGGUAAUACGUAGGGCGCAAGCGUUGUCCGGAAUUAUUGGGCGUAAAGAGCUCGUAGGCGGUCUGUCGCGUCUGGUGUGAAAUCCCGAGGCUCAACCUCGGGCUUGCAUCGGGUACGGGCAGACUAGAGUGCGGUAGGGGAGACUGGAAUUCCUGGUGUAGCGGUGGAAUGCGCAGAUAUCAGGAGGAACACCGAUGGCGAAGGCAGGUCUCUGGGCCGCAACUGACGCUGAGGAGCGAAAGCAUGGGGAGCGAACAGGAUUAGAUACCCCUGUAGUCCCUGUCUCUUAUAC
rnacentral:rRNA from 1 species